AGUGAACGCUGGCGGUAGGCCUAACACAUGCAAGUCGAACGGCAGCACAGUAAGAGCUUGCUCUUACGGGUGGCGAGUGGCGGACGGGUGAGGAAUACAUCGGAAUCUACUUUUUCGUGGGGGACAACGUAGGGAAACUUACGCUAAUACCGCAUACGACCUACGGGUGAAAGCAGGGGAUCUUCGGACCUUGCGCGAUAGAAUGAGCCGAUGUCGGAUUAGCUAGUUGGCGGGGUAAAGGCCCACCAAGGCGACGAUCCGUAGCUGGUCUGAGAGGAUGAUCAGCCACACUGGAACUGAGACACGGUCCAGACUCCUACGGGAGGCAGCAGUGGGGAAUAUUGGACAAAGGGCGCAAGCCUGAUCCAGCCAUACCGCGUGGGUGAAGAAGGCCUUCGGGUUGUAAAGCCCUUUUGUUGGGAAAGAAAAGCAGCAGGUUAAUACCCCGCUGUUCUGACGGUACCCAAAGAAUAAGCACCGGCUAACUUCGUG
rnacentral:rRNA from 1 species